rfam:Folsomia candida strain VT population Fcan01_Sc015, whole genome shotgun sequence.
UAAUCGGUCCUUUUAAGGGCCACUACAUUUUCCGAAGAUCAAUUGUU